CUUUGAGGAGCUGGGGGUCUUCCAGACGUACUCGGCAUGGAGGGAAGACACGGGACAACGCAGGAAAUAUCUGGAUCCAGAGGGAAGGACGAUCGGGCUGUUUUCCCCUGAAGGAAAACAAGAAGAGACGGUGGAGUCUUACCAUUCAUUCCUGAAGAGAGCAUAGACUUUGGUUUCCUCCCAUCGGUCUGCAUCCACAAUGUUCACAUCCAGCAGCUCAGAGAAAUACUGUUUUCUCUCUGGAUCUCCACAGAACAGCCGAGCGUUCAUCAUGGAGGUCCACUUAUUCUGCAGUAGGUUCUUACGGCCCCCAAUGUCAGCCUAAAAAUGCCACAGAAGAUCAAAUUCUUGUAACUAUGAUUACAUCUUUUUUAAAAUCUGCAUUUUUUUCUCGUUUCUCAGGUCGUACCGUGCAAACCUGGCUCACAAAGGGGAUCCACUUAUCACUGUCCAGUGCUGUGUCUUUGUUUUUCUGCUUGUAGAAAGUGUAAAUUCUGUCCUGAAGGGAAUUCUCUCUCUUGCUGAGCAUCAGACCCACAAAAUGCUGUUCUAAAAACACACAAACCAACAAAAAAACUUCAACUAUGAACGUAAAAUAGUACGGAGCCCCUAUAGGGUCAUUGGGAAAAAAAGUUUAAAAAAACAAAAAAAUCAAUCAUUAUCUUGUGCGCACCAUUUACUAUCUGGUGCGCACCAGUUAUGCCUCAUUUCUCCGGGCCUCGACGCGGUACAAGAGAGGGGAAAGAGUGCGUGCUCGCGUGCAUGAGGGAAGCAGCCCUAACCCUCGCGCUGCGAGGAGAGAAAGAAUAAAAGGCUGCACGUUAACGUGCCGACAGUUGUUGUCAAUUGGCAAAGCAAGGAAAAGUAAAAAUAAAAAGUUCCUCUAAGAUCUGAGAACGAUUCUUUGGCUUCACGCUCUGGAAGUUCUGAAGCUUCGAACACGGAGAAGAACCGCGGAGGAAGAGCAGCUCUUUGGCCCGGACAAAUGAGGCAUAAGUGGUGCGCACCAGAUAAUGAUUGAUUUUUUUUUCUUUUUACUUUAAUUUUCUUCUUCCAAUGCCCCUUUAAGGGCUCCGUAAAAUAGAGUCUUUAAGAGUCUUUAAGUAUUUAUUUUUGGAAAUACCGUUGCUGUGACUGUGAGGUGCAAGCUUCUGUUUCCCAAAGCGGUAAAUCCCGACGUUCUCGCCAUUUCCAGAGGAGGUCAUGUAAAGACUUAACGAAGCGUUAUUUCCAGACUCUGGAAGAAAACGUUCCUGUUAGAUGCAGACAGGAACACUUUGGGCAGUCACAUGAUCAAAUAACAUAAAAGAUAUUUGAAGACAUUUGAUUCAAACAAAAAUGUGUUCUGUAAAAACUCACUGACAAAGAUGGAAUGUUCUCCUUCCUUUGUGACAAAUCCUUUAAUACUUUGUUUAAUAUGUUGGAGUUCCUGAGAGGGAGAACAUCGGGCUUCUAGAGGAUUUGCUGUUAUAUCCUGAAAAACAAUGACAUCAUGUCUUUAGGGCGAAAAAAGAAAAUAACAAUUUUUCCAGUCUUAUGAUAUUAUGUUUAAAAAAUGGUGAACAUAUUAACAGAAAAACAGGUUUUGUUUUUUGGUUCUCGAGCAAAAACUUCUUUUGUGAAAUCCGGAAGAAUUAUGCAAAACAAUUCACUGAACCAAAUGUCAAAAUCUUAGUGUUUUUACCAUUUCACAGCAGUUGGUUUCCUCAUGACUGCUUCCACACACAAAUGCGGAUCCUCCUCCGUUCCUCUGGUUAGCCACAGUGAUGUUGUAUCUGCAUCCCUGAGUAACAACAGGAACAUUUCUCAUUUUCCUGAAUAAAAACACAAACAUUUUCCUCCAAAUCCUCCUGAGCUGCUCACUUUGUCUGAGCAAUCCUCCCAAACCACCUUCUGUUCAGCAACAAUCUGUAAAGAAACAUCAAGAUGUUUUCAGUGCAGCUUUAAGCUUUAUUGUUCAAUGUCACAGUUCAAUAUCUUCCUUUGCUGCAGCUGUAAAAUCCUCCAUCACCUUCUCAGAGUUCUUGAAGUUGAAAAUCAUCAGGUGUGUUUGUCCUACAGAUGUGAUGGUGUCAGGUUGUGUUUCUGCGAUGAUCUUCACUGGUUUAUCAUGUCCAGUCAGAGGAAACCUUUUAAUAAAGGACUCUGGAAUCAAAAUAAACGAAAUGUUAGACUUAGUCAGGAAGCAGAGAGAAGCUUUGAAAUUUGAAUAUUAGUAGUUUGUAUUUUAUCCAAAGCACUGGUUAGAGAGACAGUAAAGAGGAAGUCUAACAAAAGAUCUUAUGUUAAACACCAAGACUCUAAAAUCUGCAUUCAGUCUAUAAAUAUUCUAUAGCAAGGUGAAUAAAACUUGAUUCAUAGUUUGUGAAAACUUGUCAAAAGGUCCAUUUCUGUGUAUUUUUUCAUUUUUAUGUGGAUCCUGUGAUAAAAACUACAGGACUGAGGCAGCAUUCAGGCUCAUCUAACAAUGUUAAGAACAUUUACAUGAAUUAAUUGUAACUGUAAUCCACUGAUUCAUCCUUUGAGAUGUCAGGUCCCUGUUGGGGAUGCUGUUGCAUAGCAACCUGACUGCCCCGCCAAAUUAAAAUGCACCCAAAUAAAUAAUGCUCCAUACUUCUGAGUAAUAAAAGUAACUAAAGAUCUUAGAAGAAGUGAAGAAACUGAUGACUGCAGAAGUUCUGUCACAGACCAGCCAUCACCAGAUUGAUAAAAGGCCAAAUAAAAGAAAUAUUUCAGCAAUAAAAAACAAAAUUCUAAUUUCAA